rnacentral:rRNA from 1 species
GAUAACUUCGGGAAACCGGAGCUAAUACCGGAUAAUAUUUUGAACCGCAUGGUUCAAAAGUGAAAGACGGUCUUGCUGUCACUUAUAGAUGGAUCCGCGCUGCAUUAGCUAGUUGGUAAGGUAACGGCUUACCAAGGCAACGAUGCAUAGCCGACCUGAGAGGGUGAUCGGCCACACUGGAACUGAGACACGGUCCAGACUCCUACGGGAGGCAGCAGUAGGGAAUCUUCCGCAAUGGGCGAAAGCCUGACGGAGCAACGCCGCGUGAGUGAUGAAGGUCUUCGGAUCGUAAAACUCUGUUAUUAGGGAAGAACAUAUGUGUAAGUAACUGUGCACAUCUUGACGGUACCUAAUCAGAAAGCCACGGCUAACUACGUGCCAGCAGCCGCGGUAAUACGUAGGUGGCAAGCGUUAUCCGGAAUUAUUGGGCGUAAAGCGCGCGUAGGCGGUUUUUUAAGUCUGAUGUGAAAGCCCACGGCUCAACCGUGGAGGGUCAUUGGAAACUGGAAAACUUGAGUGCAGAAGAGGAAAGUGGAAUUCCAUGUGUAGCGGUGAAAUGCGCAGAGAUAUGGAGGAACACCAGUGGCGAAGGCGACUUUCUGGUCUGUAACUGACGCUGAUGUGCGAAAGCGUGGGGAUCAAACAGGAUUAGAUACCCUGGUAGUCCACGCCGUAAACGAUGAGUGCUAAGUGUUAGGGGGUUUCCGCCCCUUAGUGCUGCAGCUAACGCAUUAAGCACUCCGCCUGGGGAGUACGACCGCAAGGUUGAAACUCAAAGGAAUUGACGGGGACCCGCACAAGCGGUGGAGCAUGUGGUUUAAUUCGAAGCAACGCGAAGAACCUUACCAAAUCUUGACAUCCUUUGACAACUCUAGAGAUAGAGCCUUCCCCUUCGGGGGACAAAGUGACAGGUGGUGCAUGGUUGUCGUCAGCUCGUGUCGUGAGAUGUUGGGUUAAGUCCCGCAACGAGCGCAACCCUUAAGCUUAGUUGCCAUCAUUAAGUUGGGCACUCUAAGUUGACUGCCGGUGACAAACCGGAGGAAGGUGGGGAUGACGUCAAAUCAUCAUGCCCCUUAUGAUUUGGGCUACACACGUGC